rnacentral:rRNA from 1 species
CUACGUGCCAGCAGCCGCGGUAAUACGGAGGAUGCGAGCGUUAUCCGGAUUUAUUGGGUUUAAAGGGUGCGUAGGCGGCCUGUUAAGUCAGCGGUGAAAUCUAGGAGCUUAACUCCUAAAUUGCCAUUGAUACUGGCGGGCUUGAGUGUAGAUGAGGUAGGCGGAAUGCGUGGUGUAGCGGUGGAAUGCAUAGAUAUCACGCAGAACUCCGAUUGCGAAGGCAGCUUACUAAGGUACAACUGACGCUGAAGCACGAAAGCGUGGGUAUCAAACAGGAUUAGAUACCCUGGUAGUCCACGCAGUAAACGAUGAUAACUGGCGUAUGCGAUAUACAGUAUGCUCCUAAGCGAAAGCGUUAAGUUAUCCACCUGGGGAGUACGCCGGCAACGGUGAAACUCAAAGGAAUUGACGGGGGCCCGCACAAGCGGAGGAACAUGUGGUUUAAUUCGAUGAUACGCGAGGAACCUUACCCGGGAUUGAA